AGCGAACGCUGGCGGCAGGCCUAACACAUGCAAGUCGAUCGGAUCCUUCGGGAUUAGUGGCGGACGGGUGAGUAACACGUGGGAACGUGCCCUUUGGUUCGGAACAACUCAGGGAAACUUGAGCUAAUACCGGAUGUGCCCUUCGGGGGAAAGAUUUAUCGCCAUUGGAGCGGCCCGCGUCUGAUUAGCUAGUUGGUGAGGUAAAGGCUCACCAAGGCGACGAUCAGUAGCUGGUCUGAGAGGAUGAUCAGCCACAUUGGGACUGAGACACGGCCCAAACUCCUACGGGAGGCAGCAGUGGGGAAUCUUGCGCAAUGAGCGAAAGCCUGACGCAGCCAUGCCGCGUGAAUGAUGAAGGUCUUAGGAUUGUAAAAUUCUUUCACCGGGGACGAUAAUGACGGUACCCGGAGAAGAAGCCCCGGCUAACUUCGUGCCAGCCGCCGCAGUAA
rnacentral:rRNA from 1 species